GCAUUCUUCUUGCAUAUAUCUCUAAAAUUUUAUUUCAUAUUUUCUCUUUGUAGCUCUUGAUGACUGUUAGAAGCCCAUUUAUCCUUCCACAGCCUGGCAACCUGUCUAUCAAAUGCACAAUCCAAAAUCAUGAGAAAAAGGAGGGGGAGAUGGUAGGAGGGUCUGCCACUUAAGUUCAAGUAGUCUAUUUUAUCUCUAAAGGAAGAGCCAACCCUUAGACCUUCUACAUGCUUAGGAAUACAUUUUCCUACAGAGACCUUUCUCUUCUUUUAAGUAGCAUGGAAAUAACUGGUCCAAGGAAUAAAAUGAAAUCUCUCCAUAUCAAAAGCAAGAGCCUUAAGCAAAGGUGGUAACAAAUCCUGAGACAAUCUGGUUUGUCUGAAGUCAAAAUUCAGCAGGGUUCUAUCAUUCAGCACAUCAUGAAAAUCUGAAUUGAAUUUCUCAAAAAGUGAACUCAAUGAGAAAAAAUAGUGACUGUUGGCUCUGGAUCCAUUAGGAACAUAUUAAACUGCUGAGAUACAAAACAUCUUUUCUCUGUAGUAGUAAAGAUGAAACAGAAUCCCAAAUGCAGAUUUAUCCCACCUCUUCACCAAUAGAUCAUGUCUAGCAAGUAGACAAACUCUGGAGGAAGCAGUUGGAAGCAUCCAAGCUCAGGAAGAGACCUGUCUUGCUGGAGGGAUAGGCCUGUCAGCAAUGUCCCAGCACGGGCUCAGCAGUGAUCUCAAGACAUGCAAACCAGAAACCACAUCCCCUAUGCAAUGUUCCUGGAUGGAAACAAUCUGCUCACGCCCUAGCAAGCACAGAUGGUGACCGUCAUGACACAGGAGGUUGUAGAGCACUCCCGAGCUUCACACCAGCCCCCAGCGAUUUCCUACAGAUAUUUACUUAGCGCAUGGCAUAUAGAACAUUAAAAGGGUUUUGAAAAAUCCCUCAGUUUUCAACUUCGGAAGGAUUAUUAACUUCAAAGUCUGGAGAAAUGUCGCCCUUCUAUCUUUGGAAAUGCCAGGAGCCUUUGCAUAUCCCUACCACAGUACCAAGCAGCCCCCAGCAGAGAAGAACGAUUACUGCCUCGGUGGCGAGAGGAUGGCUUUUGAUCUCUUAACAUAUUGGAAAUUACUUAAAGGCACUAAGGACACAUUCACCAGAUUCAUUGCCGUGCACCUGCCAUCAGAAGACCUGCUGAUUCACUUGCAGUAAAUUGCAGAUGUGAUUGGGGUUAAUAUAUGGUUACAUAUAUGAUAAUUCACCUUUGGCC
rnacentral:lncRNA from 1 species